rnacentral:tRNA from 2 species
GCUGGGGUGGCGGAAUCGGCAGACGCGCUAGGUUUAGGACCUGGUGGGAGUAAUCCCUUGGGAGUUCGACCCUCCCCCCCAGCA